rnacentral:rRNA from 1 species
CUCGUAGGCGGUUCGUCGCGUCCGGUGUGAAAGUCCAUCGCUUAACGGUGGAUCCGCGCCGGGUACGGGCGGGCUUGAGUGCGGUAGGGGAGACUGGAAUUCCCGGUGUAACGGUGGAAUGUGUAGAUAUCGGGAGGAACACCAAUGGCGAAGGCAGGUCUCUGGGCCGUUACUGACGCUGAGGAGCGAAAGCGUGGGGAGCGAACA